GCUGACAAAUGAAGCGACCCUUAGUGGUGCGUGGAUGUCGUGAGAUUAGGUUCACCAUGCAUGGUUAAUAAAUUCGAAUCGGUUCGUCUGCCUCUCACAGUUUGGGACUACUUGAUCGCUAUUCUGCACUGAGUAAAGAUGGAACAUGAGGAUAUUAAUCUUGAUGCUUGUUCUUUAAUUGUUUGAAAAACUAUGCUUGCUUAGUAUAAGCUGCUAAUCUAAACUGGUUAAUAAACGUAGAACUUGAGCUAAAAUAUUGAAAGUAAGGACCGACCAUAGACGCUUUUGGCAAAACAAAUCCAAAGCUAAAAAGCCUUGCAUAUCUAGGAGUUGGUGACAGUAGUUAACCCCUGUCGGGUCAGUCUUGCUGAGUAUUAGUUGCUCAGCCUUGCUGUGGCUUAACUUUU
rnacentral:lncRNA from 1 species